rnacentral:rRNA from 1 species
AACGAACGCUGGCGGCAGGCUUAACACAUGCAAGUCGAGCGGGCCCUUCGGGGUCAGCGGCAGACGGGUGAGUAACGCGUGGAACGUACCCUUUGCUACGGAACAACUCCGGGAAACUGGAGCUAAUACCGUAUGUGCCCCCCUUUAAAAUUUCAGGAAUCAUAAAAUGGCCUGGCAUUUUAUGGGGGGGAAAGAUUUAUCGGCAAGGGAUCGGCCCGCGUUGGAUUAGCUAGUUGGUGGGGUAAAGGCCCACCAAGGCGACGAUCCAUAGCUGGUCUGAGAGGAUGAUCAGCCACACUGGGACUGAGACACGGCCCAGACUCCUACGGGAGGCAGCAGUGGGGAAUAUUGGACAAUGGGCGCAAGCCUGAUCCAGCCAUGCCGCGUGAGUGAUGAAGGCCCUAGGGUUGUAAAGCUCUUUCACCGGUGAAGAUAAUGACGGUAACCGGAGAAGAAGCCCCGGCUAACUUCGUGCCAGCAGCCGCAGUAAAA